rnacentral:rRNA from 1 species
AGUGAACGCUGGCGGUAGGCCUAACACAUGCAAGUCGAACGGCAGCACAGUAAGAGCUUGCUCUUACGGGUGGCGAGUGGCGGACGGGUGAGGAAUACAUCGGAAUCUACUUUUUCGUGGGGGACAACGUAGGGAAACUUACGCUAAUACCGCAUACGACCUACGGGUGAAAGCAGGGGAUCUUCGGACCUUGCGCGAUUGAAUGAGCCGAUGUCGGAUUAGCUAGUUGGCGGGGUAAAGGCCCACCAAGGCGACGAACCGUAGCUGGUCUGAGAGGAUGAUCAGCCACACUGGAACUGAGACACGGUCCAGACUCCUACGGGAGGCAGCAGUGGGGAAUAUUGGACAAAGGGCGCAAGCCUGAUCCAGCCAUACCGCGUGGGUGAAGAAGGCCUUCGGGUUGUAAAGCCCUUUUGUUGGGAAAGAAAAGCAGCAGGUUAAUACCCCGCUGUUCUGACGGUACCCAAAGAAUAAGCACCGGCUAACUUCGUG